rnacentral:rRNA from 1 species
UACGGGGGGAGCAAGCGUUGUUCGGAUUUACUGGGCGUAAAGGGCGCGUAGGCGGCCACCGCAAGUCGGUUGUGAAAUCUCUGGGCUUAACCCAGAAAGGUCAACCGAUACUGCGGGGCUAGAGUGCAGAAGGGGCAACUGGAAUUCUCGGUGUAGCGGUGAAAUGCGUAGAUAUCGAGAGGAACACCUGCGGCGAAGGCGGGUUGCUGGGCUGACACUGACGCUGAAGCGCGAAAGCUAGGGGGAGCGAACAGG